rnacentral:lncRNA from 1 species
AAAUUCAUUGUGGACGAUUUUACUUUGGGGCUACUUUUUUCCCCCUUUCGGAAUUGGUUUUGUUUUAGAAAAUGUGAGGGGCUGCAUCCCCUCUCAAGCAGGAUUGAAAAUUCCACCACUCCUCCGCGCCCCCACGUACUCACCGCCUGAUUUACCUCUUUUUUAAAUCUUGAGUUUCUCUCCCGAAUGGAACUUGUUAACCCCCCCAAAAAACUUUUGGUUUUGUAAAAUCCAAAUUUUGUAAAGGCAAAAACGACUAAAGGAGGGGUGCAUCGUGCUUCUUAAAAAGAUUUUUUUUUCCAGCCACUCUGGGUCUGAAAACUACCAUGGCAGUCCCUAGGUCCUACACAGCGAAGACCAAAUUCAGCCGCUCUUUAAAAUUCGCCACCAAGAGUUGCAGUCUGAAGCGGUGCUUCUAGCUGCUCCCAGCGUGGGUGUCGGUAGUUUUUGUGCUUUUAAAAAAUUAGUUUUGGAAAUGUGGUGCCUUCUCUCCCAAACUAUUUUUUUGAUUUUCAAUCCAGAUGGGGUCUUUGGGACUUCCCUAUCUUCUUCCCCAAUAAUUGGGUCGCAUUUUUCCUUACGACCUGCUGGCUGCCGGUAGGCCUGCCCUUCCGCCUGGCAGGCCCAGAGUGGAUUCCCUGGGCCGCAGUGGCCUGGACGAUGGCCGGGUCUGAUAGCGGCAGGCGGCCGCGAUGAUUUGCGGGAUUCUCGGCAUGGCACGGCCAGCCUGCCCGAGCCACGGGAGGCGCAGCCAGCCCACCACUCACGGCAAGCAGGCGGCCGAGCGCCCUUCGAGAAGAGACUUAAGUCACCAUGCUCCAGGGCAGAUACUCCCCCACCAAUCUUUCCCAGGUUUAAAGCUACAGGGCAGUUGAUGGACGACAACUAGAGGCUGCAACUUAUCAGUGACUGCCUGCGUUUGUGUUGGAGGCUGGGUGUGCGCUGCGGUGCGCGUGUGAGUGGAUCUUUUAAGACCUUUGUCUGAGCCGGGCAGAGGCACAAGUGCCACCUGACGCUUGGGGCAGAUUCCUCGUCCUGUUCUUGCAAAGAUGCCAAAUCAGGAGAGUGUCAAGAUUUCAACCGCAGACCUAAAAAAAGUGUCUCCAUGUUUUUAAAAGUAUCAGACAACCACCUCCACACACCCCUCCGUCUCCCCUUCCACCUGGAACAUUGUUCUUUUUAAUAACCAGGUUUAGCAAACUGCUAUACUGCGCCUGUGCUUUCCUGCAGCCCUCCGCUGUACCAGCUGAGCCCUGUACAGAAUCUGAGCGUCAGAGUUGCAGACCCAACCUUGCCACCUUGCAAAUCAUCCCUUCUCUGGAGGCCUCAGGAUUUUAGUUGAUCAAACCAACACCAACAUUCAUUGGGUCCCUUUGCAACCCUAACAUUUAAUGAGACUUGGUAAUUGUCAUCCGUUCGCCAAGGAGGUUGGGGAUGAACUUGGGGGCAUUUUCUUGUUUAUUUUUCAUUGAGACAAAGGAGUGUGCUGUCCCCACCUCCGCCCCCAGACAAGGACAGGGUUCCUACAUCAGCUGGGUCUAAAAUAAGGAAAAGCGAGUGCUGCCGCAGAGGGGACUUUCCGGGAAGGGGGUCACAGGAACCCCAAGGCCACACAGCUCCAGACACUCUGCCGGAGCUCUAGGGGAGCUCACCCCUGCGCGGCGGGACCUCCCCCAUCGGGUUGCCCCUUCAAUCUGCAGCCGCGCGGAGGCAGGCCCCGGGAAAGGCAGUCGGCGCUCGGUGCUCGCACUGCGCCUCGGCGGGCGGAAACUCACAAGUGUCCUCAACGUGCUAAACAAACCAUCAGGGCCCCGCAUCGCCUGGCGCAAUUGGAAUAACAAAUGCGACGCACGCAAAUUGUCCACCUCGUGUUGCUAAGCGAUUGUUUGUCGGCCCCGCACGCACAGCUCAGCAUGGGAGGACCGCGAGCGUCCAGAGGCAGCCGGCGAGCGCUUAGGUCGGAAAUGCAGUAAACAUGCCGCUGAUUUUCCCUAUUAUCACCCAAACACGAUUUCACACAAAGCAAUCACCACGCAGAAGUCUAUGAAAAUGUGUUUGUUGAGGAGUCACUCGCCCCAGUAAUAGUCCUCAUUUUUAAGAUAUUAAAGAAUAGCUCAGCGGAUUCCACAUGCAUAAGGUCUAUUUGCCGUUCGGCAUCUGUCACGGCGCUUUUGCACUGCGGUCAUCACUAAAUUGAUUCAUAGAGUGUAGAUUAAAUUGCUUCUC